GGCAGUAUCGUCUGUGAGAACGACCACAGCAAGCUCUGCAAGUCAGCGGCGCAUCACGCCAUGGCCCCCAGCCACGCCCCCGGCCUGAGACCGGGUAAUAGAGUUUGCUAAUUCAGAGUUCUUGAACGAGCCUCAUCCCUCUCGUUGACGUAUCCUGACACGGUGACGGUCUUUAGAUUGGCAACGCUGACAGGCAUUGAGACAUAAAAAAGGACUGUAUAUAUUCACGCCAAAGGACUUAUGUAUACGAAGAACGGAUGGAGAUGAAAUGUCGUGACUUUAAGAAUUGUGACCUUCGACAUGUAUGUCGUUGCUAUGGACGCUUUGAGACGGCGCACUGAAUAGAUACCCCCACCGACGAAAAAUCAGAAUUCGUCCAGGAAUGUACAAGAGCAAACAUCCAAUAUUCAUUUUUUCAAACAAAGAUAAAAUCGUCGGGGAAAUUAAAAAGAAAGAUCAUGGAUCGUUAACACCACGUGACUCUGUGAACUAAAUGAAAUCACAAUUGCUAUACAGCAUCUAUGGACAUUCGUUUUAUAUUUAGUGUUAUCGAUGUUUUUCGCACUGUUUUUGCACCUAUUAUAUAACAGUUGUGGCAAUUUGCAUCAAGAAGGUUUAAACCAGUGUGCGGUUCCUGCAGACAUUGGAAUGGGUAGCUCUGGGAAGAAUGUUUGAGCAAAAACUAAUGAUGAAAUGCAGCGUUGAAAUUUAAAAAAAAAAUGUAUUUUUAGCCGUCCUGCUUCAUAGCUAAUGCUUUGCCAUUGUCGUCUAAACGUGUAUGGCAAAAACAACUUGAUGUUGAAAUGUUCGUGUUUUGUUAUCCAUUUCAAUUCUCUUCUGCACUGAAAUCACUAUAAGCUUUUUCAUCGUUCAAGCUGGAACCACCUGAAAUGGAUUGAUUGUUCAAGGGACACCAUGAUCAUUUUUCGUCAUUUUUGUGUGUGUGUGGUUCGACAGCUUGGUAAAGCAACCCACUUGUUUGUGAAGCAUAUUCCAAGCCCCCUCAACUUAGUACUUUUUUUUCAAUGAGAAAACGCAAUGUAUACUGCACGGACGGAAAACCGAACUCGAGCGAUUCUCAUUGACAACGCACCUCAUACAUAGACGACCAUGUAAUAAUGAAGUGUUCGGGGGGAAAAAACGCGAUCAUUCUUCAUUUGGCAGGAGCUAUUAAUGGACGUGUUUCACUCUUCAUAACUAUCGCCUCUCUUUAUUACCUUCUGUCAAGAGACAAGAUGCACUGGUAAACCCGGGAGAGCGAAAUUAAUUAAUUUUUUCUUCCACUGAUCAGUUUUACUCGCAACCUAUAUGUUUAAUAUCCAAUAGAACCGGAUCGUUUUUAUUAGAAACACUUCGGGCAAUAUACAAUCGUAUCCAAUUAGCCUGUCUAACCUUCGAAUACUUGGAAAUUAAUCAUGUCUGAGUAGGAAAAGGGAGGGGGGCGGUAGAUUUGAUGUGUCUCAAUUCAAAAUGGCGACCCCCAUCCGAGGCUGUCCACUUUAAUGAAAUUGCGCGCGUAAAGUUGAUAGCGAAGUUCGUCUGCUCUAAGCGACGGGCAUGUGUGCAAUCCGAAAAUGGACUUGGGUUAAUUGAUGAGAUUGUGUGUAGUCAGCUGCUGGGUCCCAAAUCUUCCCCUCUCUCUGUGUGUCUCUCUCUAUCUACCUCUCCCUCUGUCUUGAAAAAAAACUUGAUUAUACCCGCUUUUCUGAGAGCAAAACUCACCUUCACAAGCCCCUCUUCCAUUUGCGCCAUACCUCGGUUAAUACCUACCCCCAUCGCAACACAACUCGUUAAAAAGCUGAUUGUUACUUAGCCAAAGCCGCCGGGAGAUGUCAGAAAUGUAGUCGAACAUAGUGAGAUAAUUUUUGCGGCCACCUUCGGGAGAGGCGCUUUGUUUAUACAGCCCCCGUAAAUGGGCCGAAGAAAUCGUCUCUUCACUUUCUCCCUCACUCUCUCCCACUCUUUCCACCACUCUUCCCCCUUCACCCGCAAAUCACUUAAAAGCUCCACAAUGAUGCAUUACAUCUCGUCGUGAUAGUCCACCAUCUUUAAGUGAUGUUAUGGCUAUACAUUAUUUGGUUUUCGUUCUUCAUUCUUACAAGAAGUUCAAAUCAAUUCGAUUUUACAUUAUAUUCACCAUUAAAUUCACCAGGAACACAAUUACACAAUCAAGUUUGUCCACACUGAUUUAUAACUUGCAUAAUGUCUGUUUUCUUUACAAAAGCAAUCACGUCUUCAAAGACAGCUAUAUUGUUCAUAAUGUUUUUUAUGACGUCACAAAGCAAAAUUUUAUGACGGAUAAUUAAGUGCGAGUUUUGUAUUAACGCUUUAGUCUUAUCAUUUUUAUUUGGUAUCCCUUCUUGCAUUCUAAUCUCCCUCUCCUUUUGGUCGAAUGACACAUUAAGAACGACCAUGAACCUUCAGCUUCUUGUAAUUAGACUCUAGAGGGCAGUCUUUAUGUUAUUUAAAUUCGAGAUGUCCCAAGAUUGCCGUGCCCCGUGCUUGUGGAUGGGGCGGGAGUCUGGGCUUCCCUUAACAUCCUGUCAUUCUUAAGUAGGUCUUACUCUAGUAAUAUUGGUAGGUAAAAUACCACUUGGUCUACACCCUCUUUGCCUACUUUCCAUCUCAUCUCACACACAUGGUCUAAUCCCAAUUUGUUGACAACCAGUUCGUCUAAUAGCCAUUUGGUCUAAUUGCCAUUUAGUCCAUUAACCAUUUUGUCUAUAAAUUGCCUAUUAUCACACCAAUUUUUUGUGAAAUUUCAAGUAAUAGGUUAUACCAUUUUCGUCUGAUAACCAUUCGGUAUCACAUCACUUAGUCGUUAUGUUUAGAUGUACUUUUUUCUAUUUUUAUUUUGAAAAAAAAAUCUGACAAAAUGUAAGAUAAUAAGUAGACUAAAUUAAACUACACCACAUGGCCACUAGGCUAAAUGAGAAAUAGACUAAGUGGGUUUUAGACCAAUUAUAGUGUAGACCAAAUGCCCAAACGGCAAUUAAAACAAUUUUUUAUGGUAACCCCCGUAGGAAUUCGGCAGGACAGCGUUUUGCUUGUAAAUGGUAAACGUUAAACUGGUAUAUAACCAAUUAACUAGGAAAAAAUUACGUCUAGGUUAAUCAGUCGUAAUGCUGACCUUUUAGACGACAGAUAUUACUCUUGGGCCUUUUUUAAUCAAAGUGGAGACAAUGGCAGAGUGGGGAUUCGAACUCACAACCUUGCGAUUGUGAGUCCAUUGUUCCAACCAUGGGACCACACGACCCGUGUGAUAGUAAGUCAAAUUGGUUUUGCUUUGUCUAUAUGAGAUUAAGACGAAAUGAAUUAUACACCCAUCCUGUCUCCUCGAACAUUUUUUUUAUAGUAUGUUAGUAAACCUACCUUUUAAACCCAUCAUGGCUGCUCAUCUGUUGUACAUGUAAUUGUAUGGAACAUGGUUGAAGUUUUUUUCCGCAUUACUUCUGAUGUUGACCAAUGAAUUGUAAGUUAUAUUUUAUACGUCAUAUUACUUUUCACUUUAACAGAAAUAUUUGAUGAUAUUCAUGUCGAUGGGGUUGCGAAAGAGCGGUUCCAUAUCUUGCUCCUCAGAUAUGUGACCUACAAAGGAAUUCUUAUAUUAUAAUGAUAAUAUGAUAGUAUGUUGCAUAAUUAUUGUACAGUAAUAUGUAACGCAUGUUGUUUAUGAGAGAUGAAAUACGAGGAAGAUUUUAUUAUCAUUACAUUUAUCAUUAUUAUGUUCACUGUUCAUGUCUUGCUUUUCUUCUAUUUGUGAAUAGUCGGAGAGUAUUUGAAAAAAUGAAAUGCAAGAAAUUGAUAUUAAAUUUGUGCACGUUCUUACUUGAACACUGAAA
rnacentral:lncRNA from 1 species